rnacentral:lncRNA from 10 species
CGAGAGCCCCCAAGGCUGUGGGUAUGAGGCCGGGGCCCUGCACCGGAAGGGAGGGCGGAAGCCACGGGACGUGGAGCAGAUGGUGAGGAUAGUGGGGAGGUAGCAGCAGAGGAUGACCCGAGGCAAAAGUGCAAGUGAAGAAAAGUCGCCUUGCCGGGCAGAGGUACGGGACCAAGGCGCCUCCUCUGGGCUGAGGAGUUAGAGGGAAGAAAAUGGCGCCCUGUCAUGAGGGCGCGAGGUCCGAGUUGAGGGGAGAAGACUGAGGGACACAGAAGUGGCCGAAGUGAGGGCGCUGAGGUCAGCCUGAGCUGAGAGGGCCGGCAGAUCACGCCGCAGCCGAAGUGAACGAACUCGAGUGAGGAACAGGCUCCAGUGUGUGAUCAAAACCUGACUCAGAGCUUGCAGUUGACUUUUAGUCAAAUACUGGCCAAGAACUGUUUGUAUUCCUGGGAUGGAGUGCAGCUUGUGCAGUCACUUUGUUAGCCUUCUGGAGAAGAUAAGGAGGGGAGUACAGUAAUUUAAUGAUCCCUUCUCUCUAAAUCAUCCUUGAGAAAGUCCAUAGCUUCAUUUUUCCAUUCUGUAACGAAUAAGCCCUGGAGACAUAAACUUCCCGUUUAUCCUGUCAUUCCCAGGAAAGAGGAGCAAAUACACAAGAAACUAAUUAAACCCUUCGGUAGAGGAGGCCUUGAUUACAAAUUGCAUAUUGUGAAAAAGGAUUUAGGUUUCAUUUUUGUUGGAAAGGAAAAUGGUAUUUCAAAAUGAAUUUAAUAUGUGUACCCCUAUCAGUUACCUAAGCCCAAGUCUCAAGACAAUCUUAACAGUGUAGUGUCCCUUCUGGAGAAUUAGAAGUGUCUCCCUUUGGGGUAAAGACUUUGGUAAACACUUCUUGGCUCUGGUUUCAGAUUGCAUCAGUUCUAAAACUAAUUCCUGGCCCUAAACUAAGAACAAGCUUUGACUUGAUUUUUAAACUGCUUUUAGAAUAGAGUUUCCAAUUUUUUAUUUAAAUAUGCUUACUCUCACUUGCCCAUGAAAUUGGUGUAUUCUGGCUUUCUCGUGCAUAUUCUGUUAUAAAUGUAUUGAUUAAAUGUACUUUAAAAAUCAAUUUCUCACUCUUAAGAUUAGAAAAAAACAAAUAUUAGUACAUCCCUUUCUCCUUUUGGAGGAUUUUUAAUCUUAAAUUUUCUCCCAGUAAUGAUUAGAAGUUAGAAUGAUUUUUUUUAAAGAACCUUAUGGCCAGGCGCAGUGGCUCAUGCCUGUAUCCCAGAACUUUGGGAGGCUGAGGUAGG